ensembl:lncRNA
CCUCAAAAGAGCUCCACAAGCCAUGUCUGUGUUCAAAGGUAAGCAGCAACCCAACUGCCCUGAAUCUGCUCUGUGUGUGUGUGUGUGCGUGAGAAUUUAUUGCAACCUGCAUCCAAUCAAUGUGUCUCCCUGCUUCCAAUUACUGCAUAACGUGUAUCCUGUGUACCUGAGAGUCAAUCAAUCAGUCAAUCAUUCCAGGAGCAGCGGCACAGAAGGACGCUGAGGGAACAGGUAGGCCUUCCCCGGCGCUAACGGGCGCUGGGGUUCCAGGUAGAUCUGCUGCGGCGCUGAGGGACGCUGAGGGUCCACGUAUUCCUGCUGCCGUACAGGCUGGCGCCCGGGAGCCCUGCCGGUCGGCUUACUGUAUAUCACGCUCUCCUUCUCAGCGGGUUCCUUCAGUUGUAUGAUGGCGUGGCCACCGAAGCGCUCGGGGAUGGAGAUGGGUCCGAAGUGCUGCGCAGAGGUCCUGGACGCAGGGAGGUCACGGGCGCCCUGCGCCGGGUUACUGCCGCGCCAGGGGGUUUUGCGGUAGAUCUUACUGCCGGGCCUCUGCUUGGAGAAGCUCGUUGUUCCACUGGCUUCGUUGGACGCCGUAGACUGGCUGUGACGUUGGGGGAUAAAGGUGACGUGGGGCGCUGAAGCAGGCGUGUAGCUUUGUUGGGCUUGUCCUGCCUUCAUAGGGACCUCUGGGUGUUGGUUUCCAGCCUCCGGCCAACUCGGGAUAUUUCCAUUUCUCUCACUUGUUGGUGAGGACAAACGGGUCGGGUUAGAUGCCUCAGAGCCCAGACGCGAAGACACCAGUGUGGCGAACGCGCUGGCCGAUGUCGCCGUGCGACCAGGGAUUUGGUUUAGCAGAGCAGCAUCUAUGUCAGCAUCCAUGUCCAACAGGCUCAACGGAUAGUUGCCAGUACUCGGUGUAUUUGACCAAGUUCCCCUGCUAAUGGUAGUUUGAUGGUGCGUUUCAAAUGAACCACCACCAAUAAGAGCAGUAGAAAGGCCAAAUAUUUGCAGUGGCAUAGUUUCCUGAUUCAAGUUGGGUUUUGACUCAGAGCUGCUCUGCACCAACCCGGCAAAAACGCUGCUUGGUCUCGGAGCU